rnacentral:rRNA from 1 species
AAUACCGGAUAGUUCCCUUGAACCGCAUGGUUCAAGGAUGAAAGACGGUUUCGGCUGUCACUUACAGAUGGACCCGCGGCGCAUUAGCUAGUUGGUGAGGUAACGGCUCACCAAGGCGACGAUGCGUAGCCGACCUGAGAGGGUGAUCGGCCACACUGGGACUGAGACACGGCCCAGACUCCUACGGGAGGCAGCAGUAGGGAAUCUUCCGCAAUGGACGAAAGUCUGACGGAGCAACGCCGCGUGAGUGAUGAAGGUUUUCGGAUCGUAAAGCUCUGUUGUUAGGGAAGAACAAGUGCAAGAGUAACUGCUUGCACCUUGACGGUACCUAACCAGAAAGCCACGGCUAACUACGUGCCAGCAGCCGCGGUAAUACGUAGGUGGCAAGCGUUGUCCGGAAUUAUUGGGCGUAAAGGGCUCGCAGGCGGUUUCUUAAGUCUGAUGUGAAAGCCCCCGGCUCAACCGGGGAGGGUCAUUGGAAACUGGGAAACUUGAGUGCAGAAGAGGAGAGUGGAAUUCCACGUGUAGCGGUGAAAUGCGUAGAGAUGUGGAGGAACACCAGUGGCGAAGGCGACUCUCUGGUCUGUAACUGACGCUGAGGAGCGAAAGCGUGGGGAGCGAACAGGAUUAGAUACCCUGGUAGUCCACGCCGUAAACGAUGAGUGCUAAGUGUUAGGGGGUUUCCGCCCCUUAGUGCUGCAGCUAACGCAUUAAGCACUCCGCCUGGGGAGUACGGUCGCAAGACUGAAACUCAAAGGAAUUGACGGGGGCCCGCACAAGCGGUGGAGCAUGUGGUUUAAUUCGAAGCAACGCGAAGAACCUUACCAGGUCUUGACAUCCUCUGACAACCCUAGAGAUAGGGCUUUCCCUUCGGGGACAGAGUGACAGGUGGUGCAUGGUUGUCGUCAGCUCGUGUCGUGAGAUGUUGGGUUAAGUCCCGCAACGAGCGCAACCCUUGAUCUUAGUUGCCAGCAUUCAGUUGGGCACUCUAAGGUGACUGCCGGUGACAAA